CAGGCCCUGAAUGAAGACCAGUGGUUUGCUGUAGCCGUUGGUUUCAAGCAGGAGCCCAGAGGAAACGUCUCCCGGUCUGUUGGCGCUCCCGUCCCCGUGGAAUGGCCAAUUUGUGUGGGAGUCACACCA